AGCAGUCGCCGCGGUAAAACGAAGGGGGCUAGCGUUGUUCGGAAUUACUGGGCGUAAAGGGCGCGUAGGCGGCCAUUCAAGUUAGAUGUGAAAGCCCUGGGCUCAACCUAGGAAUUGCAUUUGAUACUGUUUGGCUUGAGUUCGGGAGAGGUGAGUGGAAUUCCCAGUGUAGAGGUGAAAUUCGUAGAUAUUGGGAAGAACACCAGUGGCGAAGGCGGCGACCUGGUCUUUUACUGACGCUGAGGCGCGAAAGCGUGGGGAGCAAACAGGAUUAGAUACCCCUGUAGUCCCUGUCUCUUAUAC
rnacentral:rRNA from 1 species